rnacentral:rRNA from 1 species
GAUGAACGCUGGCGGCGUGCCUAAUACAUGCAAGUCGAGCGAACGGACGAGAAGCUUGCUUCCCUGAUGUUAGCGGCGGACGGGUGAGUAACACGUGGAUAACCUACCUAUAAGACUGGGAUAACUUCGGGAAACCGGAGCUAAUACCGGAUAAAAUUUUGAACCGCAUGGUUCAAAAGUGAAAGACGGUCUUGCUGUCACUUAUAGAUGGAUCCGCGCUGCAUUAGCUAGUUGGUAAGGUAACGGCUUACCAAGGCAACGAUGCAUAGCCGACCUGAGAGGGUGAUCGGCCACACUGGAACUGAGACACGGUCCGGACUCCUACGGGAGGCAGCAGUAGGGAAUCUUCCGCAAUGGGCGAAAGCCUGACGGAGCAACGCCGCGUGAGUGAUGAAGGUCUUCGGGUCGUAAAACUCUGUUAUUAGGGAAGAACAUAUGUGUAAGUAACUGUGCACAUCUUGACGGUACCUAAUCAGAAAGCCACGGCUAACUACGUG